ensembl:lncRNA
UCACAGAGUAGUAAAUUCAUCUUUAUUUGUCUUUCCAUCACUCCUCUCCUCUGGAGUUUAUUAAACACAGCUCUACACAAAUGGAUAAAGAAAAUGAAUAUUAGUUGAUCUCUCCUAGAGAGAGAGAGAGAGAUUGUGUGCGAAUGUUAGUUGGUUUGAUGAUGUUCAGACAUGUUGGUUUGAGUCUACGUCAAGGAAGUGAGGUCUGUCAUCCGACCAAAGACUGAGUCAGUUACCCUUUAGUCAGUGGUUUUCAUUCUCACACCAGCCCCGUCUCGACCCAAACCAACUGUCUGUAUGUCUGUUUUACCAUGGACAACUUUCUGUGUGAUCAACUAAAAACCUCUUCAGUCACAUCACACCAUAAAACUGACACACACCCCUUUUGAAACACCUUCUUAAGUCAUCUAGACACCACCUGUUCUUAGCCCGUCUCAUCUGCUGUCCUUAGCCUUUCUCACUUCAUGCCACACACCUCAGAACUCAGAGUUUCACAGAAGCUUCAUAGCUAACGUGGCACUUUGUAUAUCUUGACAACUCAACCAUGAUAGCACCAAUUGCAAAAUCAAUGUUUGAUGUUCUACAUGGGGUUUGAGUCUGGGUUGUUGAGAGAAAUGAAGUACCACGUUAGCCAUAAAGCUUUCAGAAAACUCACCUUAGGUUUAUGGAAACAUGGCUAUCUCCCUCAACCCAUUACAUCUUUGUAUACCCCUGCCUCAUCGCUAACUCAAACCAUUACCAACAGCAAACAGCCCCUGGGAUUACAGCUAGCUAGCUAGCGACGUAGCCUUGGUGCUGACUACAGUACACAUACUGCCUCUCUUUCUUCAUUCUGUGCUUUGCUCUUGGAUUUACCUUCCUCCCUCUCUCAUUGUCUGUUGGGUUAAAACGCCCAUAUGGAGGAGAUGGACACAGAGCUAACGUCUUUAUUCUAGGUGGUGGUGUAACAUGAACGAUGUGCUAGGAAGUGUCUGAGUCGAGAUGGUUGAAAACAGUCUACUCUAGAUGGUUUAAACAGUCUACUCUAGAUGGUUGAAAACAGUCUACUCUAGAUGGUUUAAACAGUCUACUCUAGAUGGUUGAAAACAGUCUACUCUAGAUGGUUGAAAACAGUCUACUCUAGAUGGUUGAAAACAUCUACUCUAGAUGGUUGAAAACAGUCUACUCUAGAUGGUUUAAACAGUCUACUCUAGAUGGUUGAAAACAGUCUACUCUAGAUGGUUUAAACAGUCUACUCUAGAUGGUUUAAACAGUGGUAUAACACCCCUUAUAGGAUCGAUUGUUUUCUUAAAUAAAAAGCGUUACAAGUGCAUCAACAUACAAAAUAUUAUCGUGGUGUAAAAACAAACAUAACAUUUAAAACUCCAUUGAAAUAAAUUAAUAUAAUUGUUUAUAUAUAUAUAUACGCAUAUAUAUAUACACAUAUAUACGUAUAUAUAUAUA